rnacentral:lncRNA from 1 species
GCCCCCGCCCCCCCCCCCGCCCGGACCGCAGCCUCGGGGACCAGCCGGACCGGACCGGACCGGACCGAGCCGAGCCGGCCCGAUCGAAGCCUCCUCCAAAGAAGGGAGGAUGGGGGCGGGAGGUGGGGCCUCGGGAGACCCCUUUGGAUCCGUCCAGCCCCGGGCGGGGAAGGAAGUGCGUCCCGAUGCCAAGACGGCCGGACGGCCGGACGGCUGGGCGGAGGGGGAGGAGGAGCAGGACGAGGACGAGGAGGCCGAGAGGAGGAGGAAGAGGACGAGGACAAGGAGGAGGAGGAGGAGGAGGGAAGAAGGAAGAGGAGGAGCGGGACCGAGCAGGCCGGAGUGGCCGUGCCCAGGGUCGGCACGCCUGCCCUGGGGCUCCUGCAGGUCCCCCAGCCCCGUCCGUGUAGAAGACAGGCCCGGGGGUCGCCCCCGGACCGACCCUCGUCCCCAGGUCCCUGGAGCGGAGGCAGCCGAGGCCGGUCCUGAGCAAGGCCCGCACCCUGCCCAGCAUCCCGCAGUCCCCGGGCCUCGGGCGGCUCCCGCCGCGGGACCCCGACCCCCCACCGGCGGACCCGAUGGAGGACCCCCGCCCCCGCCCCCGCCCCCGAGGACGCCCCGCCCCCGAGCCUCCGGAGACUCGCGCCGCGCCCUCUGCCGGUGAGUAGCGGCCCUGCCGCCCCUCCGCCCUCUCCCCUUCCCUCCCUCGUUCGUUCGUUCAUUCAUUCAUUCAUUCAUGCAUGCAUGCAUGCAUGCAUUCAUUCACUCACUCACUCAUUCACUCACUCACUCACUCACUCACUCACUCAUUCACUCACUCACUCACUCAUUCACUCACUCACUCAUUCAUUCACUCACUCAUUCUCACUCACUCACUCACUCACUCAUUCAUUCACUCACUCAUUCACUCACUCAUUCAUUCACUCACUCACUCAUUCUCACUCACUCAUUCACUCAUUCAUUCAUUCUCUCAUUCAUUCGUAUUUAUUGAGCGCUUACUAUGUGCAGAGCACUAUACUAAGCGCUGUAAUAAUAAUGUUGGUAUUUGUUAAGCACUUACUACGUGCCGAGCACUGUUCUAAGCGCUGGGGG